rnacentral:rRNA from 1 species
GUACACAAAAAUGCACAUGCUGUGAGCUCGAUGAGUAGGGCGGGACACGUGGUAUCCUGUCUGAAUAUGGGGGGACCAUCCUCCAAGGCUAAAUACUCCUGACUGACCGAUAGUGAACCAGUACCGUGAGGGAAAGGCGAAAAGAACCCCGGCGAGGGGAGUGAAAAAGAACCUGAAACCGUGUACGUACAAGCAGUGGGAGCACGCUUAGGCGUGUGACUGCGUACCUUUUGUAUAAUGGGUCAGCGACUUAUAUUCUGUAGCAAGGUUAACCGAAUAGGGGAGCCGAAGGGAAACCGAGUCUUAACUGGGCGUUAAGUUGCAGGGUAUAGACCCGAAACCCGGUGAUCUAGCCAUGGGCAGGUUGAAGGUUGGGUAACACUAACUGGAGGACCGAACCGACUAAUGUUGAAAAAUUAGCGGAUGACUUGUGGCUGGGGGUGAAAGGCCAAUCAAACCGGGAGAUAGCUGGUUCUCCCCGAAAGCUAUUUAGGU